rnacentral:rRNA from 2 species
UCUCUUAGUAAUGGCGAAUGAACAGGGAAUAGUUCAGAGUGAUAAUCGGGGCCUUCGGCCUUGAAUUGUAGUCUUGCGACGCUUUGCCAGCGGAGGCUCAGAUGUAAGCCUUCUGGAAAGGAGCAUCAAAGAGGGUGAGAGUCCUGUUUGUCAUCUGCAUGCACCCGCACACGGCAGGCGUUCUAAGAGUCACGUUCCUCGGGAUUGGAGCGCAAAGUGGGUGGUAAAUUUCAUCUAAAACUAAAUACAGGUUUGAGACCGAUAGCAAACAAGUACCCUGAGGGAAAGGUGAAAAGGACUUUGGAAAGAGAGUUAAAAGUGUCUGAAAUUGCUGAAAGGGAAGCGAAUGGAACCAGUGGUUCUCUGCAAGAUUGUUGCGUGCCGAAGUGACUCGCGGGCUCUUCAGCGCAAGCGGGGGGUUUGCGUGUAAUCUGCUGGCGCGUGGUGUCUCUUGCAGUGCGAGUCAAUGUCAGUCCUCUUGUGAGGAAAACGCUGGGGGCAUGGUUGCUUGCUUGCGAGUGAGCGAAUGCGCUUGGUUGAACUCACGAGCGAACUGAAGACUGCGCAUCUGGUAGCCGCGUUCCUUUCAUUGCUUCGUUUCGGCGUUGCAGUGCGGGGUUUGCGCGCCAUAUGCAUGGACAUUGACCAAAUGGUUUCAUUCGACCCGUCUUGAAACACGGACCAAGGAGUCUAACAUAUGUGCAAGUUCUCGGGCGGGAAAACCUGCUUGCGCAAUGAAAGUGACUGCUGGGAUUCUUGCACCAGCAACCGACCAAUCGACUGUGAGAGGUUUGAGUGUGAGCACAUCUGUUAGGACCCGAAAGAUGGUGAACUAUGCCUGAGAAGGGUGAAGUCAGGGGAAACUCUGAUGGAGGCUCGUAGCGAUACUGACGUGCAAAUCGUUCGUCAUACUUGGGUAUAGGGGCGAAAGACUAAUCGAACCAUCUAGUAGCUGGUUCCCUCCGAAGUUUCCCUCAGGAUAGCUGGAGUUGAACAGUUUUAUCAGGUAAAGCGAAUGAUUAGAGGCAUCGGGGACGCGUUGUCCUCGACCUAUUCUCAAACUUUAAAUGGGUAAGAUCCAGGGGUUGCUUGGUUGAACUUCUGGGAUAAAUGACAACUCUAAGUGGGCCAUUUUUGGUAAGCAGAACUGGCGAUGAGGGAUGAACCUAACGUCUGGUUAAGGUGCUUAACUGCUCGCUCAUCAGAUACCAUAAAGGGUGUUGGUUCAUUUUAACAGCAGGAC